rnacentral:rRNA from 2 species
GACGAGGGAUCCUAGCGUUGUUCGGAAUUAUUGGGCGUAAAGCGGAUGUAGGUGGCUUUGUAAGUCAGGUGUGAAAGCCUAGGGCUCAACCCUAGAAGUGCAUCUGAUACUGCGAAGCUUGAGUGUGGGAGAGGAUAGUAGAAUUCCUGGUGUAGUGGUGAAAUACGUAGAUAUCAGGAGGAAUACCGGAGGCGAAGGCGGCUAUCUGGCCCAACACUGACACUGAGAUCCGAAAGCGUGGGGAUCAAACAGG